UAACAGCUCACUGGUCGAGUGGACAUGCGCCGACAAUACACGGGGCUAAGCUGGACACCGAAGCGGCGGGAUUUUAAUUCAUUAGAAUCGGUAGGGGAGCUUCCCAUGGGCGGUGAAGCCGCCGGGCGACCGGCGGUGGAGCGCAUGGGAGUGAGAAUGCUGGCAUGAGUAGCGAGAGACGAGAGAGUAACUCGUCCGCCGUGAACCCGAGGUUUCCUGGGCAAGGCUAAUCCUCCCAGGGUCAGUCGGGGGCUAAGGCGAGGCCGGUAGGCGUAGCCGACGCGCAGCAGGCAGACAUUCCUGCACCGCGCACGCGGCGCUACGACCGACGGGGCGACGGAUGGGGGUGGCUCGGCGGGGUUCUGGACGUCCCCGUGAUGGAGCGCGGCCCGCGGACCAGGGAAAUCCGGUCCGCACACAGGGCGAGGCUCCGGACGAAGCGACUGAGCGAAGCGAGUGAGCCCGAGGUCCCUAGAAAAACCCCUAGGCAGGCGCGUGCGCGCCCGUACCGCAAACCGACACAGGUGGGUGGGUAGAACAUACCGAGGCGAUCGGGUCAACCAUGGUCAAGGAACUCGGCACAAUGGCCCCGUAACUUCGGGAGAAGGGGUGCCCGCGCGUACGUGAACCGGCUUGCCCGGGGAGCGGAGGCGGGCCGCAGUGGAGAGGCCCAAGCGACUGUUUACCAAAAACACAGGACUCUGCAGAAGCCGCAAGGCGACGUAUAGGGUCUGACGCCUGCCCGGUGCCGGAAGGUCACGCGGAGGAGUUAGCCGAUUCGGCGAAGCCCCGAAGCCAAGCCCCGGUAAACGGCGGCCGUAACUAUAACGGUCCUAAGGUAGCGAAAUUCCUUGUCGGGUAAGUUCCGACCUGCACGAAAGGCGCAACGACUUGGGCGCUGUCUCGACCAUGGACCCGGUGAAAUUGCACUGGUCGUGAAGAUGCGACUUACCCGCGGAAGGACGGAAAGACCCCGUGAACCUUCACUGCAGCUUGGCAUUGGCCGCUGGUCCCGCGUGUAGAGGAUAGGCAGGAGGCGAAGAUCCGGAGGCGCCAGCCCCCGGGGAGCCGCCCUUGGAAUACUGCCCUCGCGCGACCGGCGUCCUAACCCGAGGCCGUCAACCGGCUCGGGGACCGUGCCAGGCGGGCAGUUUGACUGGGGCGGUCGCCUCCUAAAGGGUAACGGAGGCGCGCGAAGGUCCGCUCGGGACGGUCGGCAACCGUCCUUUUGAAUGCAAGAGUACAAGCGGGCUUGACUGCGAGGCCCACAAGCCGAGCAGGUGCGAAAGCAGGCUCUAGUGAUCCGGCGGCCCCGAGUGGGUGGGCCGUCGCUCAACGGAUAAAAGGUACUCCGGGGAUAACAGGCUGAUCUUGCCCAAGAGUCCACAUCGACGGCAAGGUUUGGCACCUCGAUGUCGGCUCAUCGCAUCCUGGGGCUGUAGCAGGUCCCAAGGGUUGGGCUGUUCGCCCAUUAAAGCGGUACGCGAGCUGGGUUCAGAACGUCGUGAGACAGUUCGGUCCCUAUCCUCCGUGGGCGCAGGAGAAUCGAUGGAGGCUGCCCCCAGUACGAGAGGACCGGGGUGGACGCACCUCCGGUGAACCGGUUGUCGACCAACGGCACGGCCGGGUAGCCGCGUGCGGCGCGGAUAACCGCUGAAGGCAUCUAAGCGGGAAGCCGUUCCAGGGAUUAGUUCUCCUUCCGGUAAGGGCCCAGGUAGACUACCUGGUCGAUAGACGGCAGGUGCAAGGACGGCGACGUCCUCAGCCGAGCCGCACUAAUCGCCCGAGCUCUUCCGGA
rnacentral:rRNA from 1 species